GGAAACGGGGUCUAAUACCGGAUACUGAUCCGCUUGGGCAUCCAAGUGGUUCGAAAGCUCCGGCGGUGCAGGAUGAGCCCGCGGCCUAUCAGCUUGUUGGUGAGGUAAUGGCUCACCAAGGCGACGACGGGUAGCCGGCCUGAGAGGGCGACCGGCCACACUGGGACUGAGACACGGCCCAGACUCCUACGGGAGGCAGCAGUGGGGAAUAUUGCACAAUGGGCGAAAGCCUGAUGCAGCGACGCCGCGUGAGGGAUGACGGCCUUCGGGUUGUAAACCUCUUUCAGCAGGGAAGAAGCGAGAGUGACGGUACCUGCAGAAGAAGCGCCGGCUAACUACGUGCCAGCAGCCGCGGUAAUACGUAGGGCGCAAGCGUUGUCCGGAAUUAUUGGGCGUAAAGAGCUCGUAGGCGGCUUGUCACGUCGGUUGUGAAAGCCCGGGGCUUAACCCCGGGUCUGCAGUCGAUACGGGCAGGCUAGAGUUCGGUAGGGGAGAUCGGAAUUCCUGGUGUAGCGGUGAAAUGCGCAGAUAUCAGGAGGAACACCGGGUGGCGAAGGCGGAUCUCUGGGCCGAUACUGACGCUGAGGAGCGAAAGCGUGGGGAGCGAACAGGGAUAGAUACCCUGGUAGUCCACGCCGUAAACGGUGGGCACUAGGUGUGGGCAACAUUCCACGUUGUCCGUGCCGCA
rnacentral:rRNA from 1 species